rnacentral:rRNA from 1 species
AUUGAACGCUGGCGGCAGGCCUAACACAUGCAAGUCGAGCGGAUGAAGGGAGCUUGCUCCUGGAUUCAGCGGCGGACGGGUGAGUAAUGCCUAGGAAUCUGCCUGGUAGUGGGGGAUAACGUCCGGAAACGGGCGCUAAUACCGCAUACGUCCUGAGGGAGAAAGUGGGGGAUCUUCGGACCUCACGCUAUCAGAUGAGCCUAGGUCGGAUUAGCUAGUUGGUGGGGUAAAGGCCUACCAAGGCGACGAUCCGUAACUGGUCUGAGAGGAUGAUCAGUCACACUGGAACUGAGACACGGUCCAGACUCCUACGGGAGGCAGCAGUGGGGAAUAUGGGACAAUGGGCGAAAGCCUGAUCCAGCCAUGCCGCGUGUGUGAAGAAGGUCUUCGGAGUGUAAAGCACUUUAAGUUGGGAGGAAGGGCAGUAAGUUAAUACCUUGCUGUUCUGACGUUACCAACAGAAUAAGCACCGGCUAACUACGUG